rnacentral:rRNA from 1 species
GGAUCCAGACUUUGAUCAUGGCUCAGGAUGAACGCUAGCGGCAGGCUUAACACAUGCAAGUCGAGGGGCAGCGCGGGGCAGCAAUGUUCUGGCGGCGACCGGCGGAAGGGUGCGUAACGCGUGAGCGACAUGCCCGUUGCCCGGGGACAACCGGUGGAAACGCCGACUAAUCCCCGAUGGGACGGAGGCCCUCAUGGGUCUCCGUUGAAAGUUACGGCGGCGACGGAUUGGCUCGCGUCCGAUUAGCUUGUUGGCGGGGUAACGGCCCACCAAGGCUACGAUCGGUAGGGGUUCUGAGAGGAAGGUCCCCCACAAUGGAACUGAGACACGGUCCAUACUCCUACGGGAGGCAGCAGUGAGGAAUAUUGGUCAAUGGGCGGAAGCCUGAACCAGCCAUGCCGCGUGCGGGAAGGAGGCCCUAUGGGCUGUGAACCGCUUUUGCCUGGGGGCAAUAAGGGCGUCGUGCACGUCCGAUGAGAGUACCAGGCGAAUAAGCAUCGGCUAACUCCGUGCCAGCAGCCGCGGUAAUACGGGGGAUGCGAGCGUUAUCCGGAUUCAUUGGGUUUAAAGGGUGCGUAGGCUGUGCGUCAAGUCAGGGGUGAAAUUCCGGGGCUCAACUCCGGGGCUGCCCUUGAUACUGUCGCGCUGGAGUGCGGAUGCCGCCGGAGGAAUGAGUGGUGUAGCGGUGAAAUGCUUAGAUAUCACUCAGAACACCGAUUGCGAAGGCAUCUGGCGAAUCCGUAACUGACGCUGAGGCACGAAAGCGUGGGGAUAGAACAGGAUUAGAUACCCUGGUAUUCCACGCCGUAAACGAUGAUGGCUAACCGCCGGCGACACACUGUCGGUGGCCAAGCGAAAGCGAUAAGCCAU